GUUCACCUGUGUCUUGUCUGCCCUGCUUGUAUAUAAGUCUUGUCUCUGCCUUCCUCUUGUGCUGGUCCAUUAACUUCUGGUCAUGUGUUUCACUUCCUCUGGUCUUAGCGUCCUUGUUCAAUGUGUCUCGUCACGUCACAGUUUCAGGGUGCGAGGGGCUGUAGGCCAGCAGGAGAGUGUAAACAAAAGGAUGAUGGGAAGUUGGGGAAGACUUACUCCACGUCAACUGUUCCACCUCCAACACCAAGCAUUUUUAGGGGAGUCUGCAUUUGUCCCACCUGGUUGACACUAUUCUUCCCCUUUGUUCAACUCAAGACUUGAAUUUUCCUGCAGCUACAAAGGUUGGUAUCUGGUUCAGGGGUUUGCGGUGUGGUUUUACUGAAAGCAUCCCAUCAAAAACAGACCCCUCUUCAGGGUGUUUCCAUGUAAAGAGUCUGCAUGGGGCAGCUG